CGGCGAACUGCUCCGUAAUAUGCAGUUAACCUACCGUUAGGAAGGGAAUAAUCUCGAGAAAUUGAGGCUAAUGCCCUAUAGGUAUUAUCUGCUGGAAUGCGAUAAUGCUGAAAGCUACGGCACCUAACGAUGGGACUGUAUCCUAUCAGGCUGUUGAUGAUGUAACGAACUAUCAAACCGAUAACGGGUACGGGCUAUGGAAGUAGGAGCCCGGAGAUGGACUCUGAGACAUGAGUCCAGGUUCUACGGAACGCAGCAGGCGCGAAAACUUUGCUAUUCGCUAGCGCGAGACAAGGGAACUUGGAGUGUUCUUGCAUUGCAAGAACUUUUACUUUCUCCAAAAAGGAAAGUGAAUAAGGGGUGGGUAAGACGGGUGCCAGCCGCCGCGGUAAUACCCGCACCCCAAGUGAUGGCCGGUGUUAUUGGGUUUAAAGCGCCCGUAGCCGGUUUAACAAGUCCUUUGUGAAAUCCUUCAGCAAACUGAAGGGUGUGCAAGGGAUACUGUUAGACUUGAGACCGGGAGAAGGUAGGGGUACUCUCAGGGGAGGGGUGAAAUCCUGUAAUCCUGAGGGGACCACCUGUGGCGAAGGCGCCUACCUGGAACGGGUCUGACGGUGAGGGACGAAAGCUAGGGGAGCGAUCGGGAUUAGAUA
rnacentral:rRNA from 1 species